AUGGCGGGGAAGGAGCAGGCCGGCGCGGGCGCGGGCGGGGCCGGGAGCGGCCCCCCGCCGCGAGUGCCAGUGCCCGCGGUUUCCACGCAGCCGCCGAUUAAGAAGCUGGUCAGGCAGCUCGACUUCAACUACGGGAACCCCGCCAUGGCGGCCGCCGCCGCCGCCGCUUCCCGGACGGUGCAGCCGAGGGCGCUGCAGGUCGGGUACCCGCAGCCGCACCAGCUGAGGGCCGCGCUGCCCAUGGGGGUGCCACAUCAGCUGCAGCCGCGGGGGCUGCCCGUGAUGCGGCCGCAUCAGAUGGUGCAUGCGCCGCUGCCGCGGCCGGCACUGCCGAUGGCGAUGCCCGUGCCCGUGCCGCAGGCUCGGUCGGCCCUGCCGCAGCCCGUACAGCGCCCGCCGGUCGCCGUUCCCUUGAAGCCAGAGUCACCAAAACCACGUGGACGGCUGUAUGAUGGGAAAGAUGGCACACCUACGAAGAAGAAGUGCUGCAAUUGUCGGCACUCCAAAUGUUUGAAGCUGUACUGUGAAUGUUUUGCAUCUGGUAUUUAUUGUGAUGGAUGCAACUGCACCAAUUGUUUUAAUAAUGUUGAGAAUGAGGUGGCUAGGCGUGAAGCUAUAGAGGCUACACUGGAGCGCAAUCCAGAUGCGUUCAGACCUAAGAUUGGGAGUAGCCCACACACAAAUCGGAAUAAUAUGGAGGUAGCUGGUGAUCUCCCUUUAAUAGGGAAGCAUAAUAAAGGGUGCCACUGCAAGAAGUCAGGAUGCCUCAAGAAAUACUGUGAAUGCUUCCAAGCUAAUAUACUAUGCUCUGAAAAUUGCAAGUGUAUGGAUUGCAAGAACUUCGACGGGAGUGAAGAUAGAAAACAUCUUAAUUUUGAUCACAAAAAUGUCAUUCACAUGCAACAAGCAGCAAAUGCAGCAGUAAAUGGUGCUAUUGGAGCAACUGCAUUGUCGUCGCCUUCCACAUCUAGGAAGAGAAAGCACAUCGAUUCUUCACUUGACCUUUCGACCAAGGAACAUUUAGCUAUCAGGAAUGGUCAACUAUCUCAGGUUAUUUAUCAGAAGAACGCAAUGGCCUCCGAUGGUUCACUUCCAAUAGGCCAGUCUGCGCAUCCUCAUAUGAUGGGGCCCUUUAAAGUCACCUACAGGCCUCUUUUAGCGGAUAUUAUUCAGCCAGGGGAUGUAAAGGAGCUAUGUAAACUUUUGGUGACAGUAUCGGGACAGGCUGCUAAGGCAUAUACUGGUCGGAAAAUCCAGGAAGAGAAGGUUGCAGAGAAGGAAGAUGGAGUGGGAGGUUCUCUAGCAUUGACAAACCAUGAUAGAGAAGGCAAAAGUAAAGAUCAAAAUCAUCGAAAAAUAUCAAUUGAUGAUCAUUCAAGUGGAGGAGCUGAUAUGGGCAAGGCAUCUCUAGACGAUUCCAGACCUGAUUGCACUGAUGACCAGAAGUCCAGUAGACCAAUGUCUCCCGGAACACUAGCGUUGCUGUGUGAUGAACAAGAUGCUAUGUUUGCAACUUCUCAAAAUGCUGUUGCUCCGCCAGCAAUAGAUGUCGAUCAGAACCGGUCGGAACUGUAUGCAGAGCAGGAAAGGUGUGUGUUGACAGAAUUCCGCGAUUGCCUGCGUAAGCUUGUGCAAUACGGUAGAAUGAAAGAGGAGAAGUACUCCAUGGCAAUCAGAUCUGAAGUGACCGGGCAUCCAGGGCAGGUAAAUGGUGCCCUGCGGAUACCGUAUCCAAAAGUAGAUGUACCUGUUGUAAAAACAUUUCCUCAGAGUUCCAGCAAACAUCUUGUUGCUGGGAACCCUUCGAGUGGGCAUUUAGACAAAAGACUGAAGCCUGAGAACACAUAG
rnacentral:rRNA from 1 species